UACAGAGGUCUCAAGCGUUGUUCGGAUUCAUUGGGCGUAAAGGGUGCGUAGGUGGCGGGGUAAGUCAGGUGUGAAAUUUCGGAGCUUAACUCCGAAACUGCAUUUGAUACUGCCUUGCUUGAGGACUGGAGAGGAGACUGGAAUUCACGGUGUAGCAGUGAAAUUCGUAGAUAUCGAGAAAGAACACCCGGUGGCGAAGGGCGGCCAUCUGGACGGUGACGUGAC
rnacentral:rRNA from 1 species